ACUAAGCGUACACGGUGGAUGCCCUGGCAGUCAGAGGCGAUGAAGGACGUGCUAAUCUGCGAUAAGCGUCGGUAAGGUGAUAUGAACCGUUAUAACCGGCGAUUUCCGAAUGGGGAAACCCAGUGUGAUUCGUCACACUAUCAUUAACUGAAUCCAUAGGUUAAUGAGGCGAACCGGGGGAACUGAAACAUCUAAGUACCCCGAGGAAAAGAAAUCAACCGAGAUUCCCCCAGUAGCGGCGAGCGAACGGGGAGCAGCCCAGAGCCUGAAUCAGUGUGUGUGUUAGUGGAAGCGUCUGGAAAGGCGUGCGAUACAGGGUGACAGCCCCGUACACAAAAAUGCACAUACUGUGAGCUCGAUGAGUAGGGCGGGACACGUGGUAUCCUGUCUGAAUAUGGGGGGACCAUCCUCCAAGGCUAAAUACUCCUGACUGACCGAUAGUGAACCAGUACCGUGAGGGAAAGGCGAAAAGAACCCCGGCGAGGGGAGUGAAAAAGAACCUGAAACCGUGUACGUACAAGCAGUGGGAGCACGCUUAGGCGUGUGACUGCGUACCUUUUGUAUAAUGGGUCAGCGACUUAUAUUCUGUAGCAAGGUUAACCGAAUAGGGGAGCCGAAGGGAAACCGAGUCUUAACUGGGCGUUAAGUUGCAGGGUAUAGACCCGAAACCCGGUGAUCUAGCCAUGGGCAGGUUGAAGGUUGGGUAACACUAACUGGAGGACCGAACCGACUAAUGUUGAAAAAUUAGCGGAUGACUUGUGGCUGGGGGUGAAAGGCCAAUCAAACCGGGAGAUAGCUGGUUCUCCCCGAAAGCUAUUUAGGUAGCGCCUCGUGAAUUCAUCUCCGGGGGUAGAGCACUGUUUCGGCAAGGGGGUCAUCCCGACUUACCAACCCGAUGCAAACUGCGAAUACCGGAGAAUGUUAUUACGGGAGACACACGGCGGGUGCUAACGUCCGUCGUGAAGAGGGAAACAACCCAGACCGCCAGCUAAGGUCCCAAAGUCAUGGUUAAGUGGGAAACGAUGUGGGAAGGCCCAGACAGCCAGGAUGUUGGCUUAGAAGCAGCCAUCAUUUAAAGAAAGCGUAAUAGCUCACUGGUCGAGUCGGCCUGCGCGGAAGAUGUAACGGGGCUAAACCAUGCACCGAAGCUGCGGCAGCGACGCUUAUGCGUUGUUGGGUAGGGGAGCGUUCUGUAAGCCUGUGAAGGUGUGCUGUGAGGUAUGCUGGAGGUAUCAGAAGUGCGAAUGCUGACAUAAGUAACGAUAAAGCGGGUGAAAAGCCCGCUCGCCGGAAGACCAAGGGUUCCUGUCCAACGUUAAUCGGGGCAGGGUGAGUCGACCCCUAAGGCGAGGCCGAAAGGCGUAGUCGAUGGGAAACAGGUUAAUAUUCCUGUACUUGGUGUUACUGCGAAGGGGGGACGGAGAAGGCUAUGUUGGCCGGGCGACGGUUGUCCCGGUUUAAGCGUGUAGGCUGGUUUUCCAGGCAAAUCCGGAAAAUCAAGGCCGAGGCGUGAUGACGAGGCACUACGGUGCUGAAGCAACAAAUGCCCUGCUUCCAGGAAAAGCCUCUAAGCAUCAGGUAACAUCAAAUCGUACCCCAAACCGACACAGGUGGUCAGGUAGAGAAUACCAAGGCGCUUGAGAGAACUCGGGUGAAGGAACUAGGCAAAAUGGUGCCGUAACUUCGGGAGAAGGCACGCUGAUACGUAGGUGAAGCGACUUGCUCGUGGAGCUGAAAUCAGUCGAAGAUACCAGCUGGCUGCAACUGUUUAUUAAAAACACAGCACUGUGCAAACACGAAAGUGGACGUAUACGGUGUGACGCCUGCCCGGUGCCGGAAGGUUAAUUGAUGGGGUUAGCGCAAGCGAAGCUCUUGAUCGAAGCCCCGGUAAACGGCGGCCGUAACUAUAACGGUCCUAAGGUAGCGAAAUUCCUUGUCGGGUAAGUUCCGACCUGCACGAAUGGCGUAAUGAUGGCCAGGCUGUCUCCACCCGAGACUCAGUGAAAUUGAACUCGCUGUGAAGAUGCAGUGUACCCGCGGCAAGACGGAAAGACCCCGUGAACCUUUACUAUAGCUUGACACUGAACAUUGAGCCUUGAUGUGUAGGAUAGGUGGGAGGCUUUGAAGUGUGGACGCCAGUCUGCAUGGAGCCGACCUUGAAAUACCACCCUUUAAUGUUUGAUGUUCUAACGUGGACCCGUGAUCCGGGUUGCGGACAGUGUCUGGUGGGUAGUUUGACUGGGGAGGUCUCCUCCUAAAGAGUAACGGAGGAGCACGAAGGUUGGCUAAUCCUGGUCGGACAUCAGGAGGUUAGUGCAAUGGCAUAAGCCAGCUUGACUGCGAGCGUGACGGCGCGAGCAGGUGCGAAAGCAGGUCAUAGUGAUCCGGUGGUUCUGAAUGGAAGGGCCAUCGCUCAACGGAUAAAAGGUACUCCGGGGAUAACAGGCUGAUACCGCCCAAGAGUUCAUAUCGACGGCGGUGUUUGGCACCUCGAUGUCGGCUCAUCACAUCCUGGGGCUGAAGUAGGUCCCAAGGGUAUGGCUGUUCGCCAUUUAAAGUGGUACGCGAGCUGGGUUUAGAACGUCGUGAGACAGUUCGGUCCCUAUCUGCCGUGGGCGCUGGAGAACUGAGGGGGGCUGCUCCUAGUACGAGAGGACCGGAGUGGACGCAUCACUGGUGUUCGGGUUGUCAUGCCAAUGGCACUGCCCGGUAGCUAAAUGCGGAAGAGAUAAGUGCUGAAAGCAUCUAAGCACGAAACUUGCCCCGAGAUGAGUUCUCCCUGACCCUUUAAGGGUCCUGAAGGAACGUUGAAGACGACGACGUUGAUAGGCCGGGUGUGUAAGCGCAGCGAUGCGUUGAGCUAACCGGUACUAAUGAACCGUGAGGCUUAACC
rnacentral:rRNA from 1 species